GGCAACUUGGCCGAGCGGUUAAGGCGCUAGAAUCAGGUCAUAGAGAUCAUCUAGUCCGAAAGGGCGUGAGUUCGAAUCUCACAGUUGUCA